UGUGGUUCUGCUAUAAAAGAGAUUGGUCUUUGGAAGGCAUAAUUCUAGGGGAUUGGAAUGACAUUGAGAUUCGAUUUGAAUGUUCAAAUUAUGAUCCUAAAAAAGCAGAAAUUAUAAUAGAAAGGUGCGGAGUCCAUGUAUCAUGCAUUUGUCCUCCUUGCAACUUCGCAGCAAAUGAGGAUGCUAACUUCAACCCAUGUCCACCAUUGAAGAAAAUGAGAAACUCUUGAUUGAAUUUCAAACAAAUAUGCCAAGUUGUGGUGAUGAAAAUUCUUUAGGAGGCACAAGGGGAAGCACAUCAAGUAUUUGAUAAAAUGUUACUUUGGGCUGAAUGAAUGAACUCACUCUCUUACUUUACAAAAGAGGAGGUUCAAUAUAUAUAUAUUUAAUGGUAAAUUACUGUAAAGAUUACACUAUUGUAUUUCUAUUGUUAGCUGGUUGUUGAGGAUUAAUCUUUUCGAUUUCAGCAAACAUCAUGAACUUCAUUGCAAGUCCAGCUUGCAAGCUCGACUGGGAAUGGAAGAGCAAAGGAUGUUUUUGCAGAUUCUCAUUCAAUUUAAUGGCCCAUUCAUUCAGGGGCCAGCUAAUCUGAUAUGUCAUGUUAGCUGCUGGCAGCUUGAGCAUGAAUGGUAACAGGUUUAUGCAUUUAGUUCUUGCAUACAUGAUGAUGUAUCUUGGUGCUAGUACUUCACUGUUUUAUGUGUUAUAAAUAUGGUCCUUCAGCUCCUCAAAGUGUAGAUAGAAGUAGGAUCCAGCAAUUUAAUAGCUGACAUAUAAGGUUUAGAUUUCUUAAUUUUGUUUGAAUAAAUUAAAUACAACUUAUUUAAGCCAUCAAGUCUUCUAGGCUAAGAUUUAUAGGCACUAACAUUAACCUUGAGUAUCAACAUGGACAUAAUGUCUAACAUGGUAAUUUUGAAAAAUUAAGACGUCAUGGUGCACUCAUAUAAAAAGGAGGUCUUUAACUAUCAUGAGCAAGGAAUUUUCUUGUAGAUGUCUAACAGUGUAUAUAAGAAAAAUACUAGUGUUAUAAGCCUAUUCAUAUCUUUCCUAAAACAUUACAUCAAUAAUCUGGGAAGUCUAGGCUGUGACAAAUAUAGAGGCAAAUGUAUUAGCGAUAAUAGCUACCAAACCAGGGGAAAAAUUGAUAAAGCACACGACAAUGGAUAAUCAAA